CUAUAAUGCAGUUGAGCGCUGAGGUUGGUACUUGUACCAACUGGAUGAGCAGCGAACGGGUGAGUAACGCGUGGGGAAUCUGCCUUUGAGCGGGGGACAACAUUUGGAAACGAAUGCUAAUACCGCAUAAAAACUUUAAACACAAGUUUUAAGUUUGAAAGAUGCAAUUGCAUCACUCAAAGAUGAUCCCGCGUUGUAUUAGCUAGUUGGUGAGGUAAAGGCUCACCAAGGCGAUGAUACAUAGCCGACCUGAGAGGGUGAUCGGCCACAUUGGGACUGAGACACGGCCCAAACUCCUACGGGAGGCAGCAGUAGGGAAUCUUCGGCAAUGGACGAAAGUCUGACCGAGCAACGCCGCGUGAGUGAAGAAGGUUUUCGGAUCGUAAAACUCUGUUGGUAGAGAAGAACGUUGGUGAGAGUGGAAAGCUCAUCAAGUGACGGUAACUACCCAGAAAGGGACGGCUAACUACGUGCCAGCAGCCGCGGUAAUACGUAGGUCCCGAGCGUUGUCCGGAUUUAUUGGGCGUAAAGCGAGCGCAGGUGGUUUAUUAAGUCUGGUGUAAAAGGCAGUGGCUCAACCAUUGUAUGCAUUGGAAACUGGUAGACUUGAGUGCAGGAGAGGAGAGUGGAAUUCCAUGUGUAGCGGUGAAAUGCGU
rnacentral:rRNA from 1 species